AACAGCUCAAAUUUGAAAUCUGGCUCUUUUAGAGUCCGAGUUGUAAUUUGCAGAGGGCGCUUUGGCGUUGGCAGCGGUCCAAGUUCUUUGGAACAGGACGUCACAGAGGGUGAGAAUCCCGUACGUGGUCGCUAGCCUUCGCCGUGUAAAGCCCCUUCGACGAGUCGAGUUGUUUGGGAAUGCAGCUCUAAAUGGGAGGUAAAUUUCUUCUAAAGCUAAAUACUGGCCAGAGACCGAUAGCGCACAAGUAGAGUGAUCGAAAGAUGAAAAGCACUUUGGAAAGAGAGUCAAAUAGCACGUGAAAUUGUUGAAAGGGAAGCGCUUGCAGCCAGACUUGCCUGUAGUUGCUUAUCCGGACUUUUGUCCGGUGCACUCUUCUGCGGGCAGGCCAGCAUCAGUUUAGGCGGUUGGAUAAAGGUCUCUAUCACGUACCUCCCUUCGGGGUUGGCCUUAUAGGGGAGACGACAUGCAACCAGCCUGAACUGAGGUCCGCGCAUCUGCUAGGAUGCUGGCGUAAUGGCUGUAAGCGGCCCGUCUUGAAACACGGACCAAGGAGUCUAACAUCUAUGCGAGUGUUUGGGUGUCAAGCCCAGACGCGUAAUGAAAGUGAACGGAGGUGGGAACCUUUUAGGUGCACCAUCGACCGAUCCUGAUGUCUUCGGAUGGAUUUGAGUAAGAGCAUGGCUGUUGGGACCCGAAAGAUGGUGAACUAUGCUUGAAUAGGGUGAAGCCAGAGGAAACUCUGGUGGAGGCUCGCAGCG
rnacentral:rRNA from 1 species